rnacentral:rRNA from 1 species
AGCAGCCGCGGUAAUUCCAGCUCCAAUAGCGUAUAUUAAAGUUGUUGCAGUUAAAAAGCUCGUAGUUGAACUUCAGGCCUGGCUGGGCGGUCCGCCUUCCGGGCGAGUACUGCCUGUGGUCGGGUCCUACCUUCUGGCGAAGCGUCAUGGCCUUAACCGGCCGUGGCGGGGAACCAGGACUUUUACUGUGAAAAAAUUAGAGUGUUCAAAGCAGGCACGCGCUUGAAUACAUUAGCAUGGAAUAAUGGAAUAGGACAGUGGUUCUAUUUGUUGGUUUCUAGGACCGUUGUAAUGAUUAAUAGGGAUAGUUGGGGGCAUUAGUAUUCAAUUGUCAGAGGUGAAAUUCUUGGAUUUAUUGAAGACUAACUACUGCGAAAGCAUUUGCCAAGGAUGUUUUCAUUAAUCAAGAACGAAAGUUAGGGGAUCGAAGACGAUCAGAUACCGUCGUAGUCUUAACCAUAAACUAUGCCGACUAGGAAUCGGGCGAUGUUGACAAAAUGACGCGCUCGGCACCUC